AUUAGCUAGUUGGUGGGGUAACGGCCUACCAAGGCGAUGAUCAGUAGCCGGUCUGAGAGGAUGAACGGCCACAUUGGGACUGAGACACGGCCCAAACUCCUACGGGAGGCAGCAGUGGGGAAUAUUCCGCAAUGGACGAAAGUCUGACGGAGCAACGCCGCGUGAGUGAUGAAGGUUUUCGGACUGUAAAGCUCUGUUGUUUAGGACGAAAGCGCCUGUUGCGAACAGUUACAGGUAUUGACGGUACUAAACGAGGAAGCCACGGCUAACUACGUGCCAGCAGCCGCGGUAAUACGUAGGUGGCAAGCGUUGUCCGGAAUUAUUGGGCGUAAAGAGCAUGUAGGCGGAGAUUUAAGUCUGUUGUGAAAAUGCGGGGCUCAACCCCGUAUUGCGAUGGAAACUGAAUUUCUUGAGUGCAGGAGAGGAAAGGGGAAUUCCCAGUGUAGCGGUGAAAUGCGUAGAUAUUGGGAGGAACACCAGUGGCGAAGGCGCCUUUCUGGACUGUGUCUGACGCUGAGAUGCGAAAGCCAGGGUAGCGAACGGGAUUAGAUACCCCGGUAGUCCUGGCCGUAAAC
rnacentral:rRNA from 1 species